CGGACCGAGUCAGAUGGGCCGGAGUGGGCCGACUGCUCCCGUCUUACAAAAUUUUCUCCGUCGGGACUCGGGAGUCCUGCUUUCGCUCCAGCAUCCCCUUUUUGCGGCCGGCGACUCUUUGCGGGUCCGGAUGGCGGCGGCGGCGGCGUCGUCGUCUUCGGCUCCGGUUGGGGUGGUGAUGGAGAAGGAGAAGAAGAGGAAGAGGAAUGGCGGUGGGAUUGAGGAGGAGGAGUUGUGGGGGUACCGACACCUGCCGCUGCUGGUGGGCGCGAGAUCCAAGGAGUCGGUGGAGUACGUCCUGCAGGCCCUCUGGCGCACCCGCUCCACCGGCCUCGACGCCGCCGACCGCGCCAUCUUCCGCGACAUCCUCCGCCUCCCCUCCGACUCCCACCUCGACCCCCUUCUGGUUUGCCUGAGAAUGCUGAUUCGGAGAUGCGUCUACGGGAAUAUACCGAGAGACGAGAUUCAGAAGCUGUUUCCCCAAGAGGUCUUACCCGAAUUGCAGAGGCUACUCACCUUGCUUCUGCAGAAGUUUCAGAGGGAGUGGCGGGAAGACGCGCUCAAGGAUCAGAUUUCUUUACCUCGCUUGAAGGCGAUGACGUGGGAUAUGAAGGAAAACCAAGAUUCAUCCGAGCGUGCGGCUAUUGUUGGUCUGAAGCUUCAAGGUGAUACACAAUCUUUGUCCGGAGAAAGAGAGGUCAAGUUUCAAUUAGCAAAAGACACUCUUGAUACAAUGCUGAAGUCCAUGUACUUCAUAAGAGAUCAGAUGUCGAACUCUGUAACGAUUCGCAACUUAAUAGAAGAUGCUCAAUGAUUAUUGGAUGAUGCCAAUGGCCAGGGAGAAACAACAGGAAACAAAUAGGAUUUGGAGAUCCAACCAUAGGAAAAAAAGGCUAACUAGGUGUUUCGUAUGGUUGAUAUCGAGGAAUAGAGUUCUCAUACUGGAAAUUCUGUAGAAGAGGAGUUGGGUGUGCAAACAAUCUUUGCAAAUUCUAUGAGGAAGUACUCGAGACCGCGUAAGAUGAAGAGGGAUUUGACUGUGUUAGCGGCCGGUCGGAGGGUAACUUGGCUGGAAAGAAACAACAUCAUUUUUCGGCACAAAACGAGAACUUCAGCGCAGCUUUUGCAAGGGAUCCAGAGCAUGUUAGAUUUAUGGGAAGAGUUCUGUUGCCGACGAAGAUAAUUUAGGAAAGGAUAAUGUAAAAACUUUUCAUUAUUUUAUUUUAUGCCAAGGCCCUAUCAUUUCAUUUUGUAGUCUAAUUCAUCUUUCUUAACGAAUGAAACUGAUGGUAUUUUUUUUUGCA